AUACGGAGGGUCCGAGCGUUAUCCGGAAUCAUUGGGUUUAAAGGGUCCGUAGGCGGGAAUCUAAGUCAGUGGUGAAAUCUUGCAGCUCAACUGUAAAAUUGCCAUUGAUACUGGAUUUCUUGAAUUAGUGUGAAGUGGUUAGAAUGUGUAGUGUAGCGGUGAAAUGCAUAGAUAUUACACAGAAUACCAAUUGCGAAGGCAGAUUACUAACACUAUAUUGACGCUAAGGGACGAAAGCGUGGGGAGCGAACAGGAUUAGAUACCCCAGUAGUCC
rnacentral:rRNA from 1 species